rnacentral:rRNA from 1 species
UACGUAGGGUGCAAGCGUUGUCCGGAAUUAUUGGGCGUAAAGAGCUCGUAGGCGGUUCGUCGCGUCGGCUGUGAAAACCCGGAGCUCAACUCCGGGCCUGCAGUCGAUACGGGCGGACUUGAGUGUUGCAGGGGAGACUGGAAUUCCUGGUGUAGCGGUGAAAUGCGUAGAUAUCUGGAGGAACACCGGUGGCGAAGGCGGCAUCCUGGACCGAGACUGACACUGAGGAGCGAAAGCCAGGGGAGCAAACGGG